rnacentral:lncRNA from 1 species
GAUCUCUACACUCUUGAGAAGAAUCCUAAACCCUAUCUCUUUUAUUUUAUUGAUUCAGCAUGUUUUCUUCAUCUAUUAUCUCUGUGUUCUCAGUAGCUAUGGCGGAGUAGUCACCUUGCUUAGUCUAGGGUGUUAGGGUGUUAGAUCCGUGAAUUAAACAUAGAUAAGUGAAACCAUUGAUUGUCUUCAUUCAUAUCUAUUCUUAAUGCUUGCAUUAAUCUGGCCGC